rnacentral:rRNA from 1 species
CCUACGGGAGGCAGCAGUGGGGAAUAUUGCACAAUGGGGGAAACCCUGAUGCAGCGACGCCGCGUGAGGGAAGAAGGAUUUCGGGAUGUAAAGCUCUAUCAGCGGGGAAGAGAAAAGACGGUACCUGACUAAAAAACCCAGGCUAACUACGGGCCAGCAGCCGCGGGAAUACGGAGGGGGGAAGCGUUAGCCGGAUUUACUGGGUGGAAAGGGGGGGGAGACGGGGGGGCAAGUCUGAAGUGAAAGGCAGGGGCUUAACCCCUGAACUGCAUUUGAAACUGCCAUGCUAGAGUGCUGGAGAGGUAAGUGGAAUUCCUAGUGUAGCGGUGAAAUGCGUAGAUAUUAGGAAGAACACCAGUGGCGAAGGCGGCUUACUGGACGGUAACUGACGUUGAGGCUCGAAAGCGUGGGGAGCAAACAGGAUUAGAUACCCCAGUAGUC